rnacentral:lncRNA from 1 species
AUUUUCUCUCGCCCCCUCCCCCGAGCCUGCCUCACUCCUACACAUUAUACAUGCCAGACUGUGCGCUCCUCUUUAUACAUAUGCAUGCACGCCAGGAAGGUAGGAGUAUUACUAUGCCUGUUUUUCAGGCGGGGAAACUGAGGCCAGAGAGGAAGUGCAAUUUGACCGAGGUUACACAGUGAGUCAAUGAUGGCUCACGGGCCGGCUUAAAACGGCUCGUGGGCCGUAGUUUGCCCAUCCCUGUGCAUGAGCUUCUGCAACGUCGGCCCUCCCCGGUCACCCCAGUGGGGGGGCUUUGCUUGCUCCUGGAGAGAGGGAGGGUUUUCAGGACUAGACAUCUGUUCUGGAGACUCCCCCUCCUGCCGCUCUAUGGCCAGUGUCCUGCCCCCUCCGCAGGUGCUCAGAUGCCAGCUGCUAAUGAGGCUCUGCUAAUGCUAAGCUAUGCCAAGAUAAUCCGAGCCGCUUGCUGCCAGCGUCUUGAAAGGGCCCAGGAGGGCUGCAGUGGCCGACAGGUGCAGCACUCCCUAAAUAGCAAGCCCAAGCGUGUGCCUAUAAAACCCGGGGACACGCCUAGCGCCCCAGGAGAACUUGCUGAGGGCUGUUCAGGAAGGAGCCUGCCACGAAGCCUGCACCAGGGGACAGGAUGGAGGAGAAUUUUUCCUGCCAAGUCAAGAAGAUGGCGCUGGCCUUGGGAACGUCUCUGACGGACAAGGAUAUUGACCUGCUGCCCUCGGAGAUGAGACAUCAUGCUGCCUUCAACUACAGCAAGUUCUUCGAGUACAUGCAGAAGUUCCAGACGUCGAGUGAGCAGCAGGAGCAGUUGCGCAAAGCUUUCCAGCUCCUGGACAAGGACAACAGCGGCUUCAUCGAGUGGAACGAGAUCAAGUAACGGCCAGAGGCUUGUACCCUCCCUC